rnacentral:rRNA from 1 species
AACGCUGGCGGCGCGCUUAACACAUGCAAGUCGAGCGAGAACCGGGACUUCGGUCCCGGGGACAGCGGCGAACGGGUGAGUAACACGUGGGUAAUCUGCCCUCGAUUCUGGGAUAGCCCGGGGAAACCCGGAUUAAUACCGGAUAGCCUUUCGAGCCUUCGGGCUUGGAAGAAAAGGUAGCUUCGGCCUCCGAUCGAGGAUGAGCCCGCGGUGGAUUAGCUUGUUGGCGGGGUAAUAGCCCACCAAGGCGA